ACGCUCGACACCUACGGGAGGCAGCAGUUGGGAAUAUUGGACAAUGGAGGAAACUCUGAUCCAGUGACGCCGCGUGAAGGAAGAAGGUCUUCGGAUUGUAAACUUAUUUUGUCAGGGAAGAAAAAUGACUGUACCUGAAGAAAAAGCACCGGCUAACUACGUGUCAGCAGCCGCGGUAAUCUGAGCGGGCUGGCAAGGC
rnacentral:rRNA from 1 species